rnacentral:rRNA from 1 species
UACGUAGGGACCGAGCGUUGUCCGGAUUCAUUGGGCGUAAAGAGCUCGUAGGCGGCCACUCAAGUCGAAUGUGAAACCUCGAGGCUUAACCUCGAGCCUGCAUUCGAUACUGGGCGGCUAGAGUCUGGUAGGGGGAUCUGGAAUUCCUGGUGUAGCGGUGGAAUGCGCAGAUAUCGGGAGGAACACCGGUGGCGAAGGCGGCGACCUGGGACAAUACUGACACUGAGGUGCGAAAGCGUGGGGAGCAAACAGG